CUUGGUUGGUGAAAUGGGCACUAGUGUGUGUACACAAAAAGGGCAAGGCUGAUUUAACUAGAGAGAACCAAAGUAUCCUUAUUCUCAAGGUUAUUCCAAGUGUUCAUGGUGUUGUGUGAACCAUUUGAGGUGUCACACUUGGGUCACUAGGCACUCAAGCUUCAUGGAGUUAAGCAACAACAACAAGGUAUGUAUUCUAUCUAUUUUGUUAACCUAGUAUCAAUGUUUUAGUCUGCUAGUUAGGAUAAUACACUGGAUAUUCAUAUUUGUAUGUAUAAUAGAGAAAACAUAGAUCCAAGGUAUUUAGGGUUGCAUGUACACUUAGGAGUGUUAGAAUGCUCAUAACCCAACAGUGGUAUCAGAGCCUAGGCUUGUUUUCUUGUUAUACUUGCAAAAUCUGCUUAAAAAUCGAAUUUUGUUGCUGUCUGCACAGCAGACUCGCCGAGUCCAUAAAGGGACCCGACGAUUCCAAGGAAAAAUGCAUCCAACUCACCGAGUUUUUUUUCUUGUAUUUGACGAGUUGGAACCCCAGACAGCAUAUAUUCGACUGUUUUGGCUGGAAUUGGACUAGGAAUAUUACCCUAAGCUGUUUUUGACCUUAUAAACUUGUUUUUGAUGUGGUAAUGUUCAUGCUAAUCCAAUUUCAAAGAUAAUUGUCAAUAGAUUCAUCAAUAGAUUCAUGUUUUGCAUUGGUUUAAAAGUUAUGCUAAUUACAUGAAAAAGUUUGCUAUGAAUUACUUUUGUUCUUAUGGGUUGCUUAUAUUAAUAGGAAAAGUUAAUUGAUUAUGUGUUUUCAAUCCUUUUGAAUCUAAGAGUUGAUUCCAAAAUGUGUUUGUAUAAUUUGUCCUCAAGUUACACGAAAUGUCACAUUUAAGUUUCUUAAAACUCAUAAAAGUUGGAAAACAUUACAAAAUGAAGUGUCUUGUCCGUAUUAAAUGGUUUUAUGACUCCAUAACUUGUCCUCAAGUUAUGGAGGUUCAAGAGUCUCUUCAUUAAAUAAUAACAAUGUGUAGCCUUAAUUAGUUCCAUAAGUUACAAAAGAAGAAGUGUUACAUUCUUUAAUAGUUUAAAGUCUUCCAUAACUUGUCCUCAAGUUAUGGAACUUGAAGAGUUUUUUAAUUUAAACUACUUUAAACUCAAAAGUUAUGGAAUUAAUUAGUUUUGAAUAUUUUCAAAAAUUGCCCUCAAGUUUUGGAAUUUUAGAAGUUUUCACUCAUGAAUACUAUAAUUCCAAGUUAAGCCCUUAUAAUUUUAAAAAGUUAAAAUUCAACCCUUAGACUUUAUAAUAUUAUAAGUUAAUAAUAUUUAUAUAUGUAUAACAGAAAGUCAGUCUUACGGUUAGUAGGCCUCAUUCACGAAGCCGGUCUAUAAGGGGGGGUAUAAGGUUACUGCCUAUAAAAUGGCAGUUUAAUGGGUGUCCACUCUCACCCACUACUUCCUUGACCAGUGGAGGGUCGUUAGCCGAACGGGUAUGACAAGGACUAUAAUUCUCCCUUCAUUAAAAGUAUUAAUGAUAAAUAUAAAGUAACUAAAGGUUUUUUAUAAUUCCCAAUCUUAGUUAAUUUAGGAAAAUGUGAAUAAGGUGCUAAUCCAUGAAAUUACACUUUGCACUUUGUUUAAGUCGGUUAGUGGAGUGUAUGUGGUUAACCGACACACUAACUCGGACUUGUAAGAAAUGACAAAGGUCUAAAAAAUUGAGACUAUGAUUACGACAUCCCUUUUCAUAGUUCUGAAAUUGUUUACACAUGCAUGUGUGCUAUCUAAGGAAAGGUGUAUGAAUUUGAUAAAGUUCUAUCAAAGCAUUUCGUAUCAGAAAUCUGAACUUUGGUAAGAAAGUCAAUAAAGUAUUGUUUUUCUAGAAGUCCAGUUGAUUUCUGAGUACAUGUCAAAGCUAGUGGGAGCAUAAGUGUUAUGCUAAUAGUCAUCAUGUUAGUGGGAGCAUGAUAAUUAUGAGAAGUAUUGCAAGUUAGCAAUAUUAAUUAUAGAAAACAAAAGUUUCAAUUCGUGAGGUUACAGGGGUUGAAAAAGUUGUUUUGCUAUAAUUAAGGGAGAGGAAAUUAUACUUCAUCUCAAAUCUGUAAGCUUAGAUUGUGAGAUUUUAAUCAAAUUUAGUCAAGUAUAUAUAUGAAUGUUAUGUUGGAAUGGCUCAACAUAAGAAAAUUCUAUAUAUGGGUCCAUUAUUUGCGUUCUAAAAUUUGAUUAUGAUUACGGCAUCCCUUUUCAUAAUCUGAAUUUUAGAACUUGGCAAAGUGAAAUGGAAAUAUUAUAGCAAAGGACUGGUCUAGUAUCAUGUCUUUAGGUGAGACAUCAUGAAUCGUGUCCCAUAUGCUUCAGAAAUAGGAUCGAUUGCAUGUGCUAUAAUAUUCAUCCUUUCUAAAAUUUUCCAAAUGUCUGGGGCAUUAAGAAAGGAAAAGGUCUAGAAUUGGAUAUGACUAAAAGGAUUAACCAAUUGUUGAGGACAAUCUAAGGUUUAACAAAGAUUGGUUGCUCAGGGACAGUUUGAAGUAUAGUGUUAAGUUUUGGAAGGACCAUAUUGACAUAUUCUGAAAAGAGACAACUCUUGUUCAGAAGAGAUAGUUAAAAUGGGAAUAUGGAUAUAUGGGAGUUGUUUAAUAAAUCUGUGUUAGAUUAGGAAACUUAAUGCAAGAAGGAUGUUUCCAAGGAGUUGAUAUCCAUUGGAAUACUCUGUAAUGUCUGUUGACAAGUCUUUGUGACUUUGUGCAUAAUCAUUACAAGAGGAGCAAUGCAUAUAAGUUUAGAAUCUAACACAUUUAGCUAAAUGACAAGAAUUUGGAAUUUUUGCACUUGCAGUAAGGAAUUGGGAUUGUGAAAUGAGAAUCAUUGUAAUUAUGUUCUAUCGAUCUAUUUCACAAAGUAAAUAUCGUAGACAAACUUAGUAUGCAUACUUGGUGUAUGGCAUGACUAGUGUUUAGAAAAACAUAGUGUACAUGCUUGGAGCAUGGGAAAACUAUUGUUUUAAUUCAAGUAUAAAGUUGAUUGUUUAAAACAGUAUGCAAUGAAUGAUGGGUCAUCAAUAUGGUGAUAAAUAAAAGAUGUUUUAUUUAUAUUCAUCAGUUCUGAGACCAUAUUGGAUUCGAUUAUUCUUGUGUUUCACUUUGCAUGUUUUGACUUCUAGAAUAAAUAGGUCUCUCUUCCUGAUUGACUAUGUUAUUCAAACUAUUCGCAGUCGGUCACAUGUUGGAAGUAGAUAUGAAUCAAGACUGUCAUGGGUUGGAUUGUAUAGGUCUAACUUGUUGGACAAAGUGGUGCUACAACACUCAUGAGGGCUCAUAAUUUCUGAGUAUUGGAUUCAACCAACGCUCAUUGGAAUCACUUCAUGGAUUUUAUCACGAGUGAUCACGAGACGAUAAUAUCUUAUAUUCUUCAAACCUAGAAAUAUGUGUUGUUACUAUGAGUUGGUUAUACAUUGAUCGCAUGAAAACGCAUUGGUAACUUGAUAUUAUAAAACGUGCUUUGUGUAUGAUUCAACAUGUAGUAGAACAAGACAUAUGAGUCAAAGUUUAUCCAUUCCUUUUACCUUCAGGAUAAAAGCGAUGUUUGUGGGCCCCUCGACGAUUUAAUGAUGAUAUAUGUGAGUGCUUGGCCAAGCCAGGACUGAUUUGAUCUGUUCAAUCAGUCAGUCGUUGUAAAUCGGAAAUCAGGAAACAACAAAUGGACAAAGAGAAUGAUUUAUAAUCCAUGUAUCAGUUCAUAUGAUAUCUAGAAUGGAGGAAUAUAUGUUCCCUUAUCUAAUGGACAAGUCAUUGACAAAGGUCAGAGUUCAUCAACAAGGUCAGAGUUCGAUAGAAGCUUUUGAGAGCUAUGAUUGCUAGUCGGGUUCUGAAGUCAUACUUGCAAUAAUAGUUUUAGACUUAUCCAAGUGGGAGACUGUCGGAUUAAUGUCUAAGUCCAUAACUAUUAUUGGUAAGACUUGACCAGACCCAACAUGGUCCAUUUGGGUUGCAUGGCAACGGGACAAUUGGAUCGACAAGAUGAGGAAAAAUGAUACUAGUGAAUUAUAUUAAUAUAUUAUUAGUUCUAAUAUAUUAAUAUGUAAUCAUAUUAUUUAGUUAGUAUUGAUCAAAAAUUAAUUUAUUAAUUAAGUGAUCAAAAGGAACUAAUUAAAUAUGAACUCUUAGAUAUAUAUGUGUGGUGGGCCAAGUCUCCACACUAUAUAAAGACGUCCUUGGUUGGUGAAAUGGGCACUAGUGUGUGUACACAAAAAAGGGCAAGGCCGAUUUCACUAGAGAGAACCAAAAUAUCCUUAUUCUCAAGGUUAUUCCAAGUGUUCAUGGUGUUGUGUGAACCAUUUGAGGUGUCACACUUGGGGCACUAGGCACUCAAUAUUCAUGGAGUUAAGCAACAACAACAAGGUAUGUAUUCUAUCUAUUUUGUUACCCUAGUAUCAAUGUUGUGGUAUGCUAGUUAGGAUAAUACCUUGGAUAUUCAUAUUUGUAUGUAUAAUAUAGAAAACAUAGAUCUAAGGUAUUUAGGGUUGCAUGUACACUUAGGAGUGUUAGAAUGCUCAUAACCCAACACUAACAACACUCCCAAGCCUUAAAACUUUCCGAACGAAACCCCAAAAUCC
rnacentral:lncRNA from 1 species